rnacentral:lncRNA from 1 species
GAAAUUUGAUUAGGGAUCUUAUAGCGUAUAGACACUAAACCAUGUUUAUCAGUCAUGGGGUGACACACAUUACAGUUAGUUGUACAACAGGCUCCACUAAGACUCCGCCCACUGACAGGGACACUAUAAAGCAGUUAGUUGUUUGUGCAGAGUAGAAGCAAAUCUGUUUUCAAGAUGAGGGGGCUCUUAUCACUCAGUUUGAUGGUCUUCGUUCUAACAGAAUCCACGAAGGAAGAAGAUAUGCCUGCCUUUGGAUCCAGAACAGCAACGGGUGGGGGCGGGUUUAACUCAACAAACAACUCGACAACCAACUCAACAAUGGCAACAGAGGUGCCCGCAGUAAGUGAGGUAGAGGCUGAUGGUGUUCGGGUGGCGAUUAGCAGUUCCGAUGGGUUCAGAAGACCACCUGCGAAUGGAGAGGAUACCAAGAUGCCUCAGGGAGACACGGCGCCGACUCCACCUAAGAAGACAUUACUAGACCUAAUUUCCACUACCCCUUUGGAAAAUGAAAAAGGUAUUCUUUCUAAGCCAAGUGACAGUAAUGUGGACCAGGAAAAGCAAAAAUGAAAGAAGACUGAGAGCAGAAGAAUGAACAGACAUUGAAGGGUUUAAACUCUGACAGUCACAGAAAUGCUGCUUUAACAACCUAUUCAAAUAAACAUUUGAAGCCUGUUGUGUGAGAAGUUCCUUAUUUGUUAAUAUUAUUGGAUAGAGGGCAAAUGAAACAUCUAGUUUUUUUAAGGUCAGGAACCUUUGAUAAUGUAUGCUUGCUUCGUCAAAAUCAACACCUACUCUGACAAACCGAGACGCCAGGGGAAAUCAGUAAGCAAUUAUUGGAGAGAUUUGGCAGGUGGACACAAGUCUUGAGUUUACAAAUGGAUAAAAAACACGUAGAUACUGCAUAAUUCUCCAUUUUCAAUGUUUAAAGAUUCAGACAAGACUUCAAUCACAAGGAUCACUUUAUUUUCUGUGUUAGACUCUUUUCUUUUCAUCACAAAUAUUAUCCAAGUCCACCCAAAAUUUGCCAGCAGGGAUCAAUGCUCCCCGACAUCUUUUAUGCAAAGGACAGAAACAUAGAACACAUUUCCAGUUCUUCUUCACCUUUCUAAAACAUAACUGUGCUCUCAGUAAAAACCCAUUUGAUUUUAACCAGGCAUACCACUGUCUUGUAAGUGGAUAGUUCUCUGUUGGUUUGGGGACAAUUGGAUUUUACAGAGGAGCAGUUGCUGUCACUGUUUGGAAAUUAAGUUAUGCACAAGCAACAACCUGUUCUACACACCUGCAAUGAGGGCUGACACAGCACAUUUACUUAUGAGGAAAAGCCUGUGUACCAACUUGACUUAUGCACAACACAACGGAUGGUCCCAACACCAUUAAGAAGGCAAGAAAUUCCACAAAUGAACCCUGACAAGGCACACCUGUGAAGUGAAAAUCAUUUCAGGUUACUACAUCCUGAAGCUCAGUGAGAGAAGGCCAAGGGUUUACAGCGCUGUCAACAAAGCAAAGGGUGGUUAUUUAGAGGAAUCUAAAAUAUUAAACAUAUUUAGAGUUAUUUCAUAAUUUUUUGUUUGCUACACAAUUCCAUAUGUGUUCAUUCAUAGUUUUGAUGCAUUCAGUGAGAAACGACAAUGUAAAUAGUCAUAAAAAUAAAGAAAAACAUGAAAUGAGAAGGUGUGUCCAAACUUUUGACUGAUAGUGUGUGUGUGUGUGUGUGUGUGUGUGUGUGUGUGUGUGUGUGUGUGUGUGUGUAUGCAAUUAUAGUCAUUUAUUUAAAGCGGAAUACACAAUAAAAAAAAAAAAAAGGUAAAAAAAAAAAAAGAAAAAGUUUAGUUUAUUUAGUAAAUUAUUGAAGCAAAGUUCAGGUGUUAAGGUUAUAUAUUUAUUUACAAAUUUACUGAUCUCAGAAGACAGAAAAGGAUAGAACUUUUGUUGUAUUCUCCAACUAAAAAUACACAAAUAAAUGAUUG